CGGUAAUACCCGAUAAUCCCUCUUGGGCAAAGGCUUGCUGCUCGGGGAGCGGGGAACAUCCUAUCAGGUUGUUGGUGAGGUAAUGGCUCACCAAGCCAAAGACGGGUAGCGGGUGUGAGAGCAUGAUCCGCCGCAUCGGGACUGAGACACUGCCCGGACUCCUACGGGAGGCUGCAGUAACGAAUAUUCCGCAAUGGACGAAAGUCUGACGGAGCAAUGCCGCGUGCAGGAUGAAGCCCUUCGGGGUGUAAACUGCUGUCAGGGUUUAGGAACAAUGACCAGACUCAAAGGAAGGGCCGGCUAACUUCGUGCCAGCAGCCGCGGUAAUACGAAGGGCCCGAGCGUUAAUCGGAAUCACUGGGCUUAAAGCGUACGUAGGCGGACAUGUAGGUACUUUGUGAAAUCCCACCGCUCAACGGUGGAACUGCUAGGUAUACCGCAUGUCUUGAGACAGGUAGGGGUCGUCGGAACGAUAGGUGGAGUGGUGAAAUGCGUUGAUAUCUAUCGGAACGCCGAAGGAGAAGUCAGGCGACUGGGCCUGUUCUGACGCUGAGGUACGAAAGCGUGGGUAGCGAACGGGAUUAGAUACCCCGGUAGUCCACGCCGUAAACGAUGUGCACUAGGUUGGGGGAAUUUUGACGCCAUCCGGGCCGAAGGUAAACUGAUUAGUGUGCCGCCUGGGGAGUACGGUCGCAAGGCUAAAACUCAAAGGAAUUGACGGGGGCUCACACAAGCGGUGGAGCAUGUGGCUUAAUUCGAAGCAACGCGAAGAACCUUAUCCUGGGUUUGACAUGUAUGGAUUAGCUUCCAGAAAGCGAAGUAAGUUGCCCUCUUGGUGGAACGUACACAGGUGCUGCAUGGCUGUCGUCAGCUCGUGCUGUGAAGUGUCGGGUUAAGUCCCUUAACGAGCGAAACCCUUGCCGCUAGUUGCUACCAGGUAAUGCUGAGGACUCUAGCUGGGCUGCCGGGCCGGUGUCAAACCGGAGGAAGGUGGGGAUGACGUCAAGUCCUCAUGGCCUUUAUGCCCUGGGCUGCACACGUGCUACAAUGGUGUGGACAGAGCGGCGCAAUACCGUAAGGUGGAGCAAAUCGCACAAACCACACCCCAGUUCGGAUUGAGGUCUGCAACUCGACCUCAUGAAGUUGGAAUCGCUAGUAAUCGCGUAUCAGCUACGACGCGGUGAAUACGUUCCUGAGCCUUGUACA
rnacentral:rRNA from 1 species